rnacentral:tRNA from 1 species
GAGGGUAUAGCUCAGUGGUAGAGUGUGUGCCUAGCAUGCAUGAGGUCCUGGGUUCAAUUCCCAGUACCGCCA